rnacentral:rRNA from 1 species
UACGUAGGGCGCAAGCGUUGUCCGGAAUUAUUGGGCGUAAAGAGCUCGUAGGCGGUUUGUCGCGUCUGCCGUGAAAACCCGAGGCUUAACCUCGUGGCUUGCGGUGGAUACGGGCAGACUAGAGGUAGGUAGGGAGAAUGGAAUUCCCGGUGUAGCGGUGAAAUGCGCAGAUAUCGGGAGGAACACCGGUGGCGAAGGCGGUUCUCUGGGCCUUACCUGACGCUGAGGAGCGAAAGCGUGGGAGC